rnacentral:rRNA from 1 species
UGGGGAAUAUUGCACAAUGGGCGCAAGCCUGAUGCAGCCAUGCCGCGUGUAUGAAGAAGGCCUUCGGGUUGUAAAGUACUUUCAGUCGGGAGGAAGGUGUCAAGGUUAAUAACCUUGGCAAUUGACGUUACCGACAGAAGAAGCACCGGCUAACUCCGUGCCAGCAGCCGCGGUAAUACGGAGGGUGCAAGCGUUAAUCGGAAUUACUGGGCGUAAAGCGCACGCAGGCGGUUGAUUGAGUCAGAUGUGAAAUCCCCGGGCUUAACCCGGGAAUUGCAUCUGAUACUGGUCAGCUAGAGUCUUGUAGAGGGGGGUAGAAUUCCAUGUGUAGCGGUGAAAUGCGUAGAGAUGUGGAGGAAUACCGGUGGCGAAGGCGGCCCCCUGGACAAAGACUGACGCUCAGGUGCGAAAGCGUGGGGAGCAAACAGU